rnacentral:tRNA from 1 species
CCCCUGAUGGUGUAGUUGGUUUAUCACGUCUGACUGUAAUGGUAGUGUAUGAUAUAUUUAUAUAUUAUGCAUGAUUGUUGUAUAUCAGAAGGUCGCUGGCUCGACUCCGGCUCGGGGGA